AUACGAAGGUCCCAAGCGUUAUUCGGAAUCACUGGGCGUAAAGAGUACGUAGGCGGUUUGGUAAGUCAGGUGUAAAAUCCCGAAGCUCAACUUCGGAACUGCAUCCGAUACUGCCAGACUAGAGUAAUGGAGAGGCAGGUGGAAUUCUCGGUGUAGCAGUGAAAUGCGUGGAUAUCGAGAGGAAGACCAAUGGCGAAGGCAGCCUGCUGGACAUUUACUGACGCUGAGGUACGAAGGCUAGGGGAGCGAAAGGGAUUAGAAACCCCAGUAGUCC
rnacentral:rRNA from 1 species